CUGUCAUUUCGAACACGCAGACCGAAACAGAGGCGAGUGAGAGAUAGCCAUGGCGAUUUUGAGCUCCCCCUCGCCACUCGAUCCAGUUGGUUGGUGGUGACUCGUCGGCGCUCUCCCUCCUGCUGCAUUGCUCUCUCCUCCUCCCGCCGGAGAUCUGCUGCAUCUGCCGGCCCCCGCAGGCCCACACCCACCCCGGCCGCCUUAUUUCGCCGCCCGUCAAUCCUGUUCGUCUGAUUCGGUAUUUUCUCUCGCUUUUUGUUUUGUUCCUCAGUUCUGUAUGUUUGUGCGUAGGGUUUUCUUCGUCAGAUAUGUUGCUUGUGUUAAUCUCCCGCAGCCUCUGGUGUAGAUGUGUGAGGUUUGCGCCGUUUCUGUGAUUGAAACUUGUCUGCCAUGCGAAUUCAGUCCCUUGGUCAGAUCUGUUGCUUGUGUUUAGGGUUUUUUGGUUGCUUGUUUGUUUGAUUGAUCUGUAUCUGGUUAUUGAAUUUCGGCUGGUUGUUUGAAUAGGUUGGCUCGUUUAGUUCUUGGUAUGUGGUAAUUGGUAUUGAGCAAUUCGAACAUACUGGAUCGUGUUCAAUCCCCUGCUCUUCAGUGUUGUUAGUUAGUGGAUCCAUGUGUUAUUUUCCCCUGGGCCGUUUUGUUGUCCCUGAGUGGAUGUAGGGUUGGUUCCCUGGUCGAAUUGUUGGAAUUUUGCUAGUAGGUCUUUGAUCCAAAGCCCAACUAAAAUUCUGAAAUUCUUUUGGCUCAUUCAUGCACACAUGUGAGUGAAGUGAGUGAGACUAAAGUUUAGUCCCACCCCGGAAGUUGAGAGAGAGUUGCACCUCUUUAUAAGGUGAGCUCUUCUACCACUUGUAUGAGCAUGAGAAGAGGAGACCUACACGCCACGCCACGCCUCGCCUCGCCUCGUCACGACGCGCCGCGGGUUGCGGGAUUGAGCCGAGGACAGAGCUAUGCACGUUGUCUAUAUUUUUGCUGCAUGGGAAAAUUAAUGAGUCAUUAAUUAAUAAUUAAUGGACGCGUUAAUUACUGAACCGUUUCGGACGUGGGGUUUACUCCCACGACCUACCCGGCCCGCACUAUAUAGUCAGGCAGACGUUUACCUUAGCCGCCGCCGCUUCGUAUGGUUUCUCACCACCGUUCCAGAUCAUUGCGCCGCCAAGCAAGUCUUCUCCAUCCCUCCUUCCGGCGUGCACCGCGAGAAGGGACAGCAGGCCCUCCGGAACCCCACCUCUCGUGAUCCUGUACGGGAGAGGGGCGAUCAGGUUUUUAGAGAGCGCACUCGCGCGCCUGCUGGCAGCGAUGACUUCGCGAACGACGACUUCUUCCCCGACCUCGGCAACCUCGUCCUUGACGACAUGGGCGACAACGUCAAUGCCGGCGGUGGUGCACCCGCUGCACCGUAUGUGAUUCUAUCCUUCCUGUUCGAGAUCAUGAUAGAAUUCAUGCUUCUAGUAUGUGCCCUAGAUGUGAUAUGUUCAUCUGCUAUGCUAGUUCGCAUGAUUAGUUUAAUCUCUGCUGUUGUGGUCAUGAUUUAUCUUCUGUUUAUUCGGAUUAAAUCUCGUAGUAAUUUGCUCAUAUUUCCAACAAUCCAAAAACCUGAUUAUAGGCAAUUUACUCCGAGUGGUUUUGCUGCGCAUCUGAAGCCGCCUGCCUUUAAGGGGGCGCAAUAUAAGAGGUGGCGCACGAGAGCAGUCUACUGGUUUCAGACCAUGGGCUGCUAUGAUGCCACCAAGGGCAAGCCUGAGGGCGAUCUUAAUCCAGCACAGCUGGAAGCUUUUGAGAAGAUCGAUACCCUCUUUAAAGGCGCUCUUCUGAGUGUUCUUGAUGACUCCAUUGUGGAUUCGUAUAUGUCGUUUAACAACGGCAAGGACAUGUGGGCUGCGCUCGAGGCCAAGUUUGGUGCCUCGGACGCCGGCAGCGAGUUGUACGUCAUGGAGCAAUUCUAUGAUUACAAGAUGACUGAUGAGCGCCCUGUUGUACAGCAGGCUCAUGAGAUACAGUCGCUCGCAAAAGAACUUGAGUACUUCAAGUGUGUGUUGCCGGACAAAUUUGCUGCCGGAGGCAUUAUUGCCAAGCUUCCACCUUCGUGGAACAAUUUUGCUACUUCCCUGAAACACAAGAGACAGGAGUUUUCCGUUGCGGAUCUCAUUGGUACUCUUGAUGUUGAAGAAAAGGCGAGAGCAAAGGACACACGUGCUCGAGUUGCUGAGGGAGGUUCUAGUGCCCACAUGGUACAGAAGAAGAACUCCCAGCCCAACAAGUUCAAAAACAAUAAGAACAAAACUCAGGGCAAAGGCAAGUUUGAUACAAAGAACAAGCCAUCACAUUCUACCAACUUCAAGAAGAAUUCUCAUAAGAAGGGGAAGGGACUUUGCCAUGUCUGCGGUGAUCCUAAUCACUGGGCUUCGAAGUGUCCUAACCGCUUUGAGGAGCGUGAACAUGAGAAGAGCGGCAAGUCCGCUAAUGUUGUCAUCGGUGAUACUGAUAUGAAGGAAUCAGGGUACGGUAUUUUUCCUACCAUCCUUUCAGUAUUUCAAUCCCCUGAUUGGUUAAUUGACACCGGUGCCAAUGUACAUGUUUGUGCUGACGCCUCCAUGUUUUCUUCUUACCAGGCAAUAGGGACUUCACCCGUGCUGAUGGGGAACGGGUCACAUGCCAUCGUUCGAUGUGUUGGUACGGUCGAUCUGAAGUUUACUUCGGGGAAGACUGUGCGUCUGAAGAAUGUUCAUCAUGUGUCGUCCAUCAAUAAAAAUCUCGUUAGCGGUUCCCGUUUAUGUCGAGAUGGUUUUAAGUUGGCUUUCGAAUCCAAUAAAGUUAUAAUUUCUAAGUGUGGACAAUUUGUUGGAAAAGGCUAUGAGUGCGGAGGCUUGUUCCGCCUAUCUUUGUCAGAUAUUUGCAUUAAAGUUAUUAAUAAUGUUUGCCACAAUAAUGAGUCUGAUAUUUGGCAUUCACGACUCUGUCAUAUUAACUUUGGUUGCAUGACGCGGUUAGCCAAUAUGAAUUUAAUUCCGAAAAUCUCUACUGUCAAAGGCUCCAAGUGCCAAGUAUGUGUGCAAGCUAAGCAACCUCGCAAGUCCCAUAAGACAGCAGAGGCAACAGACUUGGCGCCACUAGAGCUUAUACAUUCUGAUCUUUGUGAGAUGAAUGGCGUGUUGACAAAAGAUGGAAAGAGAUACUUCAUGACGUUGAUUGAUGACUCCACUAGAUAUUGUUAUGUGUAUCUUCUGAAAUCAAAAGAUGAGGCUUUGACUUUCUUUAAAAACUAUAAAGCUGAGGCAGAGAACCAACUUGAUCGAAAAAUUAAACGGCUUAGGUCCGAUCGUGGUGGAGAGUAUUUUUCCAAUGAAUUUGAUCUUUUUGUGCGGAACAUGGUAUAAUCCAUGAGAGGACGCCUCCCUACUCACCCCAGUCAAAUGGGGUAGCCAAAAGAAAGAACCGAACUCUAACUGAUAUGGUUAACACCAUGUUAGACACUUCGGGUCUAUCCAAGAAAUGGUGGGGGGGCGCUAAUGACUGUGUGUCAUGUCCUAAACCGAGUUCCCACAAAGCAUAAGACCAUGACUCCAUUUGAGGAAUGGGAAAGGAAAAGGUUGAAACUCUCUUACCUACGUACUUGGGGUUGUUUGGUGAAAGUCAAUAUACCAAUUCUCAAGAAGCGCAAGCUUGGACCAAAAACCGUGGAUUAUGUUCUUCUGGGCUAUGCUUUUCAUAGCAUCGGCUAUAGAUUUUUGAUAAUAAAAUCUGAGGUAUCCGACAUGCAUGUUGGUACGAUUAUGGAAUCAAAUGAUGCAACUUUCUUUGAGGACAUAUUUCCUAUGAAGGAUAUGUCGAGUUCAUCAAAUCAGGAGAUACCUACUCCAUCUAGUGAGGAAUUCACUGUAAUUCCUGAACCCACCAUUGUGAUGGAACACGUUGAGAAUCCUGUUGAGGGUAACAAUGGAACUCCUAUGAGGAGUAAGAGACAGAGGACUGCAAAGUCUUUUGGUGAUGAUUUCAUUGUGUACCUCGUGGAUGACACACCCAGGACUAUUUCAGAAGCCUAUGCAUCUCCUGAUGCUGACUACUGGAAGGAAGUUGUACCUAGCGAGAUGGAUUCCAUCUUAGCUAACGUUACCUGGGAGAUCACUGACCGUCCUUAUGGAUGCAAACCUGUAGGAUGUAAGUGGGUGUUCAAGAAGAAGCUUAGACUUGAUGGUACGAUUGAAAAGUACAGGGCACGACUUGUGGCCAAGGGUUAUACCCAGAAAGAAGGUGAAGACUUCUUUGAUACUUACUCACCCGUGGCUAGACUGACCACAAUUCGGGUGCUACUAUCAUUAGCUGCCUCACAUGGUCUUCUCGUUCAUCAAAUGGACGUUAAGACGGCUUUCCUCAAUGGAGAGUUGAAGGAGGAAAUUUACAUGCAUCAGCCAGAUGGUUUUGUAGUACCUGGUCAAGAAGGAAAGGUGUGCAAAUUAUUAAAGUCUUUAUAUGGCCUUAAACAAGCUCCUAAGGAGUGGCAUGAGAAGUUCGAAAGAACAUUAACUGCUGCCGGCUUUGUAGUAAACAAUGGUGACAAGUGUGUGUACUAUCGCUAUGGUGGGGGAGAAGGAGUUAUUCUUUGUCUGUAUGUCGACGACAUAUUGAUCUUUGGAACCAAACUUGAUUUAAUCAAGGAGGUUAAGGAUUUCUUAUCUUGCUAUUUUGAGAUGAAGGAUCAAGGAGUAGUUGAUGUUAUCUUAAACAUCAAGCUGUUGAGAGAUGAGAAUGGUGGGAUCACACUGUUUCAGUCUCAUUAUGUGGAAAAGGACUUGAGUCGUUUUGGGUAUAGCGACUGCACGCCUUCUCCAACUCCAUAUGAUGCUAGUGUGUUGCUUCGAAAGAAUCGACGGAUUGCUAGAGAUCAACUGAGGUAUUCUCAUAUUAUUGGCUCGCUUAUGUAUUUGGCGAGUGCCACGAGGCCUGACAUCUCUUUUGCUGUGAGCAAGCUGAGUCGGUUUGUGUCAAAACCGGGAGAUGAUCAUUGGCAUGCGCUUGAGAGAGUUAUGCGCUAUUUGAAAGGCACCACGAGCUAUGGGAUUCACUACACCGGGUAUCCAAGGGUACUGGAGGGUUAUAGUGACUCAAACUGGAUAUCUGAUGCUGAUGAGAUUAAGGCCACAAGUGGUUAUGUUUUUACACUUGGUGGUGGCGCUGUUUCCUGGAAGUCUUGCAAGCAGACCAUCUUAACAAGGUCAACUAUGGAAGCAGAACUCAUAGCAUUAGACACUGCCACUGUUGAAGCAGAGUGGCUUCGUGAACUCUUGAUGGACUUACGUAUGGUUGAAAAACCAAUACCCCCUAUCCUGAUGAACUGUGAUAAUCAAACUGUGAUCGUCAAGAUAAACAGUUCUAAGGACAAUAUGAAGUCCUCAAGGCAUGUGAAGAGGAGACUAAAAUCUGUCAGAAAAUUGAGGAACUCCGGAGUUAUUACGUUGGAUUAUAUCCAAACGUCGAAAAACUUGGCAGAUCCCUUCACAAAGGGUCUAUCACGUAAUGUGAUAGAUAAUGCAUCGAUGGAGAUGGGUUUGAGACCCACCGCAUGAGUUGCCCAUAGUGGUAAACCACUCUAUGUGAUCGGAGAUCCCGUGAAGUAGAAGUGGGAGACAAGCUGUUGGUCAGCUGGGAGGAGAGUAUCCCUAUAUUAAUUAUCCCACUCCGUGAAGAUGCAAUACUCUCCUGAUCUGCAUGGCAGGUUGAUACUUAUCUUAAUGUGUUCCAAGUGGCUUAUUCGGGUAAGCAGAGAUGUUGUCCUGCAGAACAUCUUCUGAGGAACACACCUAUAUGAAUUUGAUUGUUAACGUCGCAGUCUGUGAGAAUUGGGUGUUCUCUAUUAAAUUCAUGAAAGGCCCUGGAGUAUGACGUAUACGCUCCACCCGCGGGGAAGCCUUGCGGCAGCCCAGAUCGGUCAAGAAUUUGUGUGAAACUAGUUUCACAGAAAACUUGUAGUUCAAGGCAUAGUCCACUAUUCAAGUUAUGAUCUAGUGUAGCAUAAAUUUCUCAGUGGAAGUUCAACUUCACAGUCUCCACUAAGCACCGAUAUAUAAAACAAUGUUUUGGAACUAAAUGAUGAGAUGUGCCAAUGAGACUUUGUGGGGGAUUGUUAGAAUUUUGCUAGUAAGCCUUUGGCCCAAAGCCCAACUAAAAUUCUGAAAUUCUCUUGGCCCAUUCAUGCACACGUGUGAGUGGAGUGAGUGAGGCUAAAGUUUAGUCCCACCCCGGAAGUUGAGAGAGAGUUGCACCUCUUUAUAAGGUGAGCUCUUCUACCACUUGUAUGAGCAUGAGAAGAGGAGACCUACACGCGCGCUCCUCCUCCUCGCUCGCCUCGCCACGCCACGCCUCGUCAGGACGCGACGCGCCGCGGGUUGCGGGAUUGAGCUGAGCCGAGGACAGAGCUAUGCACGUUGUCUAUUUUUGCUGCAUGGGAAAACUAAUUAGUCAUUAAUUAAUAAUUAACGGACGCGUUAAUUACUGAACCGUUUCUGAUUCUUUUGGAUCAUGACGACUCGGACGUGGGGUUUACUCCCACGACCUACCCGGCCCCCACUAUAUAGUCAGGCAGACGUCUACCUUAGCCGCCGCCGCUUCGUAUGAUUUCUCACCACCGUUCUAGAUCAUUGCGCCGCCAAGCAAGUCUUCUCCAUCCCUCCUUCCGGCGUGCACCGCGAGAAGGGACAGCAGGCCUCCGGAACCCCGCCUCUCGUGAUCCUAUACGGGAGAGGGGCGAUUAGGUUUUUGGGGAGAGCACUCGCGCGACUGCUGGCAGCGACGACUUCGCGAACGACGAAUUCUUCCCCGACCUUGGCAACCUUGUCCUCGACGACAUGGGCGACAACGUCAACGCCGGCGGUGCUGCACCCGCUGCACCGUAUGUGAUUCUAUCCUUCCUGUUCGAGAUCAUGGUAGAAUUCAUGCUUCUAGUAUGUGCCCUAGAUAUGAUAUGUUCAUCUGCUAUGCUAGUUCACAUGAUUAGUUUAAUCUCUACUGCUGUGGUCAUGAUUUAUCUUCUGUUUAUUCGGAUUAAAUCUCGUAGUAAUUUGCUCAUAUUUCCAACAAUCCUAAAACCUGAUUAUAGGCAAUUUACUUCGAGUGGUUUUGUUGUGCAUCUGAAGCUGCCUGCCUUUAAGGGGCGCAAUAUAAGAGGUGGCGCACGAGAGCAGUCUACCAGUUUUAGACCAUGGGCUGCUAUGAUGCCACCAAGGGAAAGCCUGAGGGCGAUCUUAAUCCAGCACAGCUGGAAGCUUUUGAGAAGAUCGAUACCCUCUUUAAAGGCGCUCUUCUGAGUGUUCUUGAUGACUCCAUUGUGGAUUCGUAUAUGUCGUUUGACAACCGCAAGGACAUGUGGGCUGCGCUCCAGGCCAAGUUUGGUGCCUCGAACGCCGGCAGCGAGUUGUACGUCAUAGAGCAAUUCUAUGACUACAAGAUGAUUGAUGAGCGCCCUGUUGUACAGCAGGCUCAUGAGAUACAGUCGCUCGCAAAAGAACUUGAGUACUUCAAGUGUGUGUUGCCGGACAAAUUUGUUGCCGGAGGCAUCAUUGCCAAGCUUCCACCUUCGUGGAACAAUUUUGCUACUUCCCUGAAACACAAGAGACAGGAGUUUUCCGUUGCGGAUCUCAUUGGUACUCUUGAUGUUGAAGAGAAGGCGAGAGCAAAGGACACACGUGCUCGAGUUGCUGAGGGAGGUUCUAGUGCCCACAUGGUACAGAAGAAGAACUCCCAGCCCAACAAGUUCAAAAACAAUAAGAACAAAACUCAGGGCAAAGGCAAGUUUGAUACAAAGAACAAGCCAUCACAUUCUACCAACUUCAAGAAGAAUUCUCAUAAGAAGGGGAAGGGACUUUGCCAUGUCUGCGGUGAUCCUAAUCACUGGGCUUCGAAGUGUCCUAACCGUUUUGAGGAGCGCGAACAUGAGAAGAGCGACAAGUCCGCUAAUGUUGUCAUCGGUGAUACUGAUAUGAAGGAACCAGGGUACGGUAUUUUUCCUACCAUCCUUUCAGUAUUUCAAUCCCCUGAUUGGUUAAUUGACACCAGUGCCAAUGUACAUGUUUGUGCUGACGCCUCCAUGUUUUCUUCUUACCAGGCAACAGGGACUUCACCCGUGCUGAUGGGGAACGGGUCACAUGCCAUCGUUCGAGGUGUUGGUACGGUCGAUCUGAAGUUUACUUCGGGGAAGACUGUGCGUCUGAAGAACGUUCAUCAUGUGCCGUCCAUUAAUAAAAAUCUCGUUAGCGGUUCCCGUUUAUGUCGAGAUGGUUUUAAGUUGGUUUUCGAAUCCAAUAAAGUUGUAAUUUUUAAGUGUGGACAAUUUUUUGGAAAAGGCUAUGAGUGCGGAGGCUUGUUCCGCCUAUCUUUGUCAGAUAUUUGCAUUAAACUUAUUAAUAAUGUUUGCCACAAUAAUGAGUCUGAUAUUUGGCAUUCACGACUCUGUCAUAUUAACUUUGGUUGCAUGACGCGGUUAGCCAAUAUGAAUUUAACUCCGAAAAUCUCUACUGUCAAAGGCUCCAAGUGCCAAGUAUGUGUGCAAGCUAAGCAACCUCGCAAGUCCCAUAAGACAGCAGAGGCAAGAGACUUGGUGCCACUAGAGCUUAUACAUUCUGAUCUUUGUGAGAUGAAUGGCGUGUUGACAAAAGGUGGAAAGAGAUACUUCAUGACGUUGAUUGAUGACUCCACUAGAUAUUGUUAUGUGUAUCUUCUGAAAUCAAAAGAUGAGGCUCUGACUUUCUUUAAAAACUAUAAAGCUGAGGCAGAGAACCAACUUGAUCGAAAAAUUAAACGGCUUAGGUCCGGUCGUGGUGGAGAGUAUUUUUCCAAUGAAUUUGAUUUGUUUUGUGCGGAACAUGGUAUAAUCCAUGAGAGGAUGCCUCCCUACUCACCCAAGUCAAAUGGGGUAGCCGAAAGAAAGAACCGAACUCUAACUGAUAUGGUUAACACCAUGUUAGACACUUCGGGUCUAUCCAAGGAAUGGUGGGGGGGGGCUAAUGACUGUGUGUCAUGUCCUAAACCGAGUUCCCACAAAGCAUAAGACCAUGACUCCAUUUGAGGAAUGGGAAAGGAAAAGGUUGAAACUCUCUUACCUACGUACUUGGGGUUGUUUGGCGAAAGUCAAUAUACCAAUUCCCAAGAAGCGCAAGCUUGGACCAAAAACCGUGGAUUGUGUUCUUCUGGGCUAUGCUUUUCAUAGCAUCGGCUAUAGAUUUUUGAUAAUAAAAUCUGAGGUAUCCGACAUGCAUGUUGGUACGAUUAUGGAAUCAAAUGAUGCAACUUUCUUUGAGGACAUAUUUCCUAUGAAGGAUAUGUCGAGUUCAUCAAAUCAGGAAAUACCUACUCCAUCUAGUGAGGAAUUCACUGUAAUUCCUGAACCCGCCAUUGCGAUGGAACACGUUGAGAAUCCUGUUGAGGGUAACAAUGGAACUCCUAUGAGGAGUAAGAGACAGAGGACUGCAAAGUCUUUUGGUGAUGAUUUCAUUGUGUACCUCGUGGAUGACACACCCAGGACUAUUUCAGAAGCCUAUGCAUCUCCUGAUGCUGACUACUGGAAGGAAGUUGUACGUAGCGAGAUGGAUUCCAUCUUAGCUAACGGUUCCUGGGAGAUCACUGACCGUCCUUAUGGGUGCAAACCUGUAGGAUGUAAGUGCGUGUUCAAGAAGAAGCUUAGACCUGAUGGUACGAUUGAAAAGUACAAGGCACGACUUGUGGCCAAGGGUUAUACCCAGAAAGAAGGUGAAGACUUCUUUGAUACUUACUCACCCAUGGCUAGACUGACCACAAUUCGGGUGCUACUAUCAUUGGCUGCCUCACAUGGUCUUCUCGUUCAUCAAAUGGACGUUAAGACGGCUUUCCUCAAUGGAGAGUUGAAGGAGGAAAUUUACAUGGAUCAGCCAGAUGGUUUUGUAGUACCUGGUCAAGAAGGAAAGGUGUGCAAGUUAUUAAAGUCUUUAUAUGGCCUUAAACAAGCUCCUAAGGAGUGGCAUGAGAAGUUCGAAAGAACAUUAACUGCUGACGGCUUUGUAGUAAACGAUGGUGACAAGUGCGUGUACUAUCGCUAUGGUGGGGGCGAAGGAGUUAUUCUUUGUCUGUAUGUUGACGACAUAUUGAUCUUUGGAACCAAACUUGAUUUAAUCAAGGAGGUUAAGGAUUUCUUAUCUCGCUGUUUUGAGAUGAAGGAUCUAGGAGUAGUUGAUGUUAUCUUAAACAUCAAGCUGUUGAGAGAUGAGAAUGGUGGGAUCACACUGCUUCAGUCUCAUUAUGUGAAAAAGGUCUUGAGUCGUUUUGGGUAUAGCGACUGCACGCCUUCUCCAACUCCAUAUGAUUCCAGUGUGUUGCUUCGAAAGAAUCGACGGAUUGCUAGAGAUCAACUGAGGUAUUCUCAUAUUAUUGGCUCGCUUAUGUAUUUGGCGAGUGCCACGAGGCCUGACAUCUCUUUUGCUGUGAGCAAGCUGAGUCGGUUUGUGUCAAAACCGGGAGAUGAUCAUUGGCAUGCACUUGAGAGAGUUAUGUGCUAUUUGAAAGGCACCGCGAGCUAUGGGAUUCACUACACCGGGUAUCCAAGGGUACUGGAGGGUUAUAGUGACUCAAACUGGAUAUCUGAUGCUGAUGAGAUUAAGGCCACAAGUGGUUAUGUUUUUACACUUGGUGGUGGUGCUGUUUCCUGGAAGUCUUGCAAGCAGACCAUCUUAAUGAGGUCAACUAUGGAAGCAGAACUCACAGCAUUAGACACUGCCAUUGUUGAAGCAGAGUGGCUUCGUGAACUCUUGAUGGACUUACCUAUGGUUGAAAAACCAAUACCCCCUAUCCUGAUGAACUGUGAUAAUCAAACUGUGAUCGUCAAGAUAAACAGUUCUAAGAACAGUAUGAAGUCCUCAAGGCAUGUGAAGAGGAGACUAAAAUCUGUCAGAAAAUUGAGGAACUCCGGAGUUAUUACGUUGGAUUAUAUCCAAACGUCGAAAAACUUGGCAGAUCCCUUCACAAAGGGUCUAUCACGUAAUGUGAUAGAUAAUGCAUCGAUGGAGAUGGGUUUGAGACCCACCGCAUGAGUUGUCCAUAGUGGUAAACCACUCUAUGUGAUCGGAGAUCCCCUGAAGUAGAAGUGGGAGACAAGCUGUUGGUCAGCUGGGAGGAGAGUAUCCCUAUAUUAUUUAUCCCACUCCGUGAAGAUGCAAUACUCUCCUGAUCUGCAUGGCAGGUUGAUACUUAUCUUAAUGUGUUCCAAGUGGCUUAUUCGGGUAAGCAGAGAUGUUUUCCUGCAGAACAUCUUCUGAGGAACACACCUAUAUGAAUUUGACUGUUAACGUCGCAGUCUGUGAGAAUUGGGUGUUCUCUAAUAAAUUCAUGAAAGGCCCUGGAGUAUGACGUAUACGCUCCACCCGCGGGGAAGCCUUGCGGCAGCCCAGUAUCGGUCAAGAAUUUGUGUGAAACUAGUUUUACAGAAAACUUGUAGUUCAAGGCAUAGUCCACUAUUCAAGUUGUGAUCUAGUGUAGCAUAAAUUUCUAAGUGGAAGUUCAACUUCACAGUCUCCACUAAGCACCGAUAUAUAAAACAAUGUUUUGGAACUAAAUGAUGAGAUGUGCCAAUGAGACUUUGUGGGGGAUUGUUGGAAUUUUGCUAGUAGGCCUUUGGCCCAAAGCCCAACUAAAAUUCUGAAAUUCUCUUGGCCCAUUCAUGACCACGUGUGAGUGGAGUGAGUGAGGCUAAAGUUUAGUCCCACCCCGGAAGUUGAGAGAGAGUUGCACCUCUUUAUAAGGUGAGCUCUUCUACCACUUGUAUGGGCAUGAGAAGAGGAGACCUACACGCGCGCUCCUCCUCCUCGCUCGCCUCGCCACGCCACGCCUCGUCACGACGCGCCGCGGGUUGCGGGAUUGAGCCGAGCCGAGGACAGAGCUUUGCACGUUGUCUAUGUUUUUGCUGCAUGGGAAAAUUAAUGAGUCAUUAAUUAAUAAUUAACGGACGCAUUAAUUACUGAACCGUUUCCGAUUCUUUUGGAUCGUGACGACUCGGACGUGGGGUUUACUCCCACGACCUACCCGGCCCGCACUAUAUAGUCAGGCAGACGUCUACCUUAGCCGCCGCCGCUUCGUAUGGUUUCUCACCACCGUUCCAGAUCAUUGCGCCGCCAAGCAAGUCUUCUCCAUCCCUCCUUCUGGCGUGCACCGCGAGAAGGGACAGCAGGCCUCCGGAACCCCGCCUCUCUUGAUCCUGUACGGGAGAGGGACGAUCAGCUUUUUGGGGAGCGCACUCAUGCGACUGCUCGCAGCGACAACUUCGUGAGCAACGACUUCUUCCCCGACCUUGGCAACCUCGUCCUCGACGACAUGGGCGACAACGUCAACACCGGCGGUGCUGCACCCGCUGCACCGUAUGUGAUUCUAUCCUUCCUGUUCGAGAUCAUGGUAGAUUCAUGCUUCUAGUAUGUGCCCUAGAUGUGAUAUGUUCAUCUGCUAUGCUAGUUCGCAUGAUUAGUUUAAUCUCUGCUACUGUGGUCAUGAUUUAUCUUCUGUUUAUUCGGAUUAAAUCUCGUAGUAACUUGCUCAUAUUUCCAACAAUCCAAAAACCUGAUUAUAGGCAAUUUACUCCAAGUGCUUUUGCUGCGCAUCUGAAGCCGCCUGCCUUUAAGGGGGCGCAAUAUAAGAGGUGGCGCACGAGAGCAGUCUACCGGUUUCAGACCAUGGGCUGCUAUGAUGCCACCAAGGGAAAGCCUGAGGGCGAUCUUAAUCCAGCACAGCUGGAAGCUUUUGAGAAGAUCGAUACCCUCUUUAAAGGCGCUCUUCUGAGUGUUCUUGAUGACCCCAUUGUGGAUUCGUAUAUGUCGUUUGACAACGGCAAGGACAUGUGGGCUGCGCUCGAGGCCAAGUUUGGUGCCUCGGACGCCAGCAGCGAGUUGUACGUCAUGGAGCAAUUCUAUGACUACAAGAUGACUGAUGAGCGCCCUGUUGUACAGCAGGCUCAUGAGAUACAGUCACUCGCAAAAGAACUUGAGUACUUCAAGUGUGUGUUGCCGGACAAAUUUGUUGCCGGAGGCAUCAUUGCCAAGCUUCCACCUUCAUGGAACAAUUUUGCUACUUCCCUGAAACACAAGAGACAGGAGUUUUCCGUUGCGGAUCUCAUUGGUACUCUUGAUGUUGAAGAGAAGGCGAGAGCAAAGGACACACGUGCUCGAGUUGCUGAGGGAGGUUCUAGUGCCCACAUGGUACAGAAGAAGAACUUCCAGCCCAACAAGUUCAAAAACAAUAAGAAUAAAACUCAGGGCAAAGGCAAGUUUGAUACAAAGAACAAGCCAUCACAUUCUACCAACUUCAAGAAGAAUUCUCAUAAGAAGGGGAAGGGACUUUGCCAUGUCUGUGGUGAUCCUAAUCACUGGGCUCCGAAGUGUCCUAACCGCUUUGAGGAGCGCGAACAUGAGAAGAGCGGCAAGUCCGCUAAUGUUGUCAUCGGUGAUACUGAUAUGAAGGAAUCAGGGUACGGUAUUUUUCCUACCAUCCUUUCAGUAUUUCAAUCCCCUGAUUGGUUAAUUGACACCGGUGCCAAUGUACAUGUUUAUGCUGACGCCUCCAUGUUUUCUUCUUACCAGGCAACAGGGACUUCACCCGUACUGAUGGGGAACGGGUCACAUGCCAUCGUUCGAGGUGUUGGUAUGGUCGAUCUGAAGUUUACUUCGGGGAAGACUGUGCGUCUGAAGAAUGUUCAUCAUGUGUCAUCCAUCAAUAAAAAUCUCGUUAGCGGUUCCCGUUUAUGUCGAGAUGGUUUUAAGUUGGUUUUCAAAUCCAAUAAAGUUAUAAUUUCUAAGUGUGGACAAUUUGUUGGAAAAGGCUAUGAGUGCGGAGGCUUGUUCCGCCUAUCUUUGUCAGAUAUUUGCACUAAAGUUAUUAAUAAUGUUUGCCACAAUAAUGAGUCUGAUAUUUGGCAUUCACGACUCUGUCAUAUUAACUUUGGUUGCAUGACGCGGUUAGCCAAUAUGAAUUUAAUUCCGAAAAUCUCUACUGUCAAAGGCUCCAAGUGCCAAGUAUGUGUGCAAGCUAAGCAACCUCGCAAGUCCCAUAAGACAGCAGAGGCAAGAGACUUGGCGCCACUAGAGCUUAUACAUUCUGAUCUUUGUGAGAUGAAUGGCGUGUUGACAAAAGGUGGAAAGAGAUACUUCAUGACGUUGAUUGAUGACUCCACUAGAUAUUGUUAUGUGUAUCUUCUGAAAUCAAAAGAUGAGGCUUUGACUUUCUUUAAAAACUAUAAAGUUGAGGCAGAGAACCAACUUGAUCGAAAAAUUAAACGGCUUAGGUCCGAUUGUGGUGGAGAGUAUUUUUCCAAUGAAUUUGAUAUGUUUUGUGCGGAACAUGGUAUAAUCCAUGAGAGGACGCCUCCCUACUCACCCCAGUCAAAUGGGGUAGCCGAAAGAAAGAACCGAACUCUAACUGAUAUGGUUAACACCAUGUUAGACACUUCGGGUCUAUCCAAGGAAUGGUGGGGGAGGCAAUAAUGACUGCAUGUCAUGUCCUAAACCGAGUUCCCACAAAGCAUAAGACCAUGACUCCAUUUGAGGAACGGGAAAGGAAAAGGUUGAAACUCUCUUACCUACGUACUUGGGGUUGUUUAGUGAAAGUCAAUAUACCAAUUCCCAAGAAGCACAAGCUUGGACCAAAAACCGUGGAUUGUGUUCUUUUGGGCUAUGCUUUUCAUAGCAUCGGCUAUAGAUUUUUGAUAAUAAAAUCUGAGGUAUCCGACAUGCAUGUUGGUAUGAUUAUGGAAUCAAAUGAUGCAACUUUCUUUGAGGACAUAUUUCCUAUGAAGGAUAUGUCGAGUUCAUCAAAUCAGGAGAUACCUACUCCAUCUAGUGAGGAAUUCACUGUAAUUCCUGAACCCACCAUUGCGAUGGAACACGUUGAGAAUCAUGUUGAGGGUAACAAUGGAACUCCUAUGAGGAGUAAGAGACAGAGGACUGCAAAGUCUUUUGGUGAUGAUUUCAUUGUGUACCUCGUGGAUGACACACCCAGGACUAUUUCAGAAGCCUAUGCAUAUCCUGAUGCUGACUACUGGAAGGAAGCUGUACGUAGCGAGAUGGAUUCCAUCUUAGCUAACGGUACCUGGGAGAUCACUGACCGUCCUUAUGGGUGCAAACCUGUAGGAUGUAAGUGGGUGUUCAAGAAGAAGCUUAGACCUAAUGGUACGAUUGAAAAGUACAAGGCACGACUUGUGGCCAAGGGUUAUACCCAGAAAGAAGGUGAAGACUUCUUUGAUACUUACUCACCCGUGGCUAGACUGACCACAAUUCGGGUGCUACUAUCAUUGGCUACCUCACAUGGUCUUCUCGUUCAUCAAAUGGACGUUAAGACGGCUUUCCUCAAUGGAGAGUUGAAGGAGGAAAUUUACAUGGAUCAGCCAGAUGGUUUUGUAGUACCUGGUCAAGAAGGAAAGGUGUGCAAGUUAUUAAAGUCUUUAUAUGGCCUUAAACAAGCUCCUAAGGAGUGGCAUGAGAAGUUUGAAAGAACAUUAACUGCUGCCGGCUUUGUAGUAAACGAUGGUGACAAGUGCGUGUACUAUCGCUAUGGUGGGGGCGAAGGAGUUAUUCUUUGUCUGUAUGUCGACGACAUAUUGAUCUUUGGAACCAAACUUGAUUUAAUCAAGGAGGUUAAGGAUUUCUUAUCUCGCUGUUUUGAGAUGAAGGAUCUAGGAGUAGUUGAUGUUAUCUUAAACAUCAAGCUGUUGAGAGAUGACAAUGGUGGGAUCACACUGCUUCAGUCUCAUUAUGUGAAAAAGGUCUUGAGUCGUUUUGGGUAUAGCGACUGCACGCCUUCUCCAACUCCAUAUGAUGCUAGUGUGUUGCUUCGAAAGAAUCGACGGAUUGCUAGAGAUCAACUAAGGUAUUCUCAGAUUAUUGGCUCGCUUAUGUAUUUGGCGAGUGCCACGAGGCCUGACAUCUCUUUUGCUUUGUGCAAGCUGAGUCGGUUUGUGUCAAAACCGGGAGAUGAUCAUUGGCAUGCACUUGAGAGAGUUAUGCGCUAUUUGAAAGGCACCGCGAGCUAUGGGAUUCACUACACCGGGUAUCCAAGGGUACUGGAGGGUUAUAGUGACUCAAACUGGAUAUCUGAUGCUGAUGAGAUUAAGGCCACAAGUGGUUAUGUUUUUACACUUGGUGGUGGCGUUGUUUCCUGGAAGUCUUGCAAGCAGACCAUCUUAACGAGGUCAACUAUGGAAGCAGAACUCACAGCAUUAGACACUGCCAUUGUUGAAGCAGAGUGGCUUCGUGAACUCUUGAUGGACUUACCUAUGGUUGAAAAACCAAUACCCCCUAUCCUGAUGAACUGUGAUAAUCAAACUGUGAUCGUCAAGAUAAACAGUUCUAAGGACAAUAUGAAGUCCUCAAGGCAUGUGAAGAGGAGACUAAAAUCUGUCAGAAAAUUGAGGAACUCCGGAGUUAUUACGUUGGAUUAUAUCCAAACAUCGAAAAACUUGGCAGAUCCCUUCACAAAGGGUCUAUCACGUAAUGUGAUAGAUAAUGCAUCGAUGGAGAUGGGUUUGAGACCCACCGCAUGAGUUGUCCAUAGUGGUAAACCACUCUAUGUGAUCGGAGAUCCCGUGAAGUAGAAGUGGGAGUCAAGCUGUUGGUCAGCUGGGAGGAGAGUAUCCCUAUAUUGUUUAUCCCACUCCGUGAAGAUGCAAUACUCUCCUGAUCUGCAUGGCAGGUUGAUACUUAUCUUAAUGUGUUCCAAGUGGCUUAUUCGGGUAAGCAGAGAUGUUGUCCUGCAGAACAUCUUCUGAGGAACACACCUAUAUGAAUUUGAUUGUUAACGUCGCAGUCUGUGAGAAUUGGGUGUUCUCUAAUAAAUUCAUGAAAGGCCCUGGAGUAUGACGUAUACGCUCCACCCGCGGGGAAGCCUUGCGGCAGCCCAGUAUCGGUCAAGAAUUUGUGUGAAUCUAGUUUCACUGAAAACUUGUAGUUCAAGGCAUAGUCCACUAUUCAAGUUGUGAUCUAGUGUAGCAUAAAUUUCUAAGUGGAAGUUCAACUUCACAGUCUCCACUAAGCACCGAUAUAUAAAACAAUGUUUUGGAACUAAAUGAUGAGAUGUGCCAAUGAGACUUUGUGGGGGAUUGUUGGAAUUUUGCUAGUAGGCCUUUGGCCCAAAGCCCAACUAAAAUUCUGAAAUUCUCUUGGCCCAUUCAUGCACACAUGUGAGUGGAGUGAGUGAGACUAAAGUUUAGUCCCACCCCGGAAGUUGAGAGAGAGUUGCACCUCUUUAUAAGGUGAGCUCUUCUACCACUUGUAUGGGCAUGAGAAGAGGAGACCUACACGCGCGCUCCUCCUCCUCGCUCGCCUCGUCACGACGCGACGCGCCGCGCCGCGCCGCGCCGCGCCGCGCCGCUGGUUGCGGGAUUGAGCCGAGCCGAGGACAGAGCUAUGCACGUUGUCUAUAUUUUUGUUGCAUGGGAAAAUUAAUGAGUCAUUAGUUAAUAAUUAACGGACGCGUUAAUUACUGAACCGUUUCCGAUUCUUUUGGAUCGUGACGACUCGGACGUGGGGUUUACUCCCACGACCUACCCGGCCCGCACUAUAUAGUCAGGCAGACGUCUACCUUAGCCGCCGCCGCUUCGUAUGGUUUCUCACCACCGUUCCAGAUCAUUGCGCCGCGAAGCAAGUCUUCUCCAUCCCUCCUUCCGGCGUGCACCGCGAGAAGGGACAGCAAGCCUCCGGAACCCCGCCUCUCGUGAUCCUGUACGGGAGAGGGGCGAUCAGGUUUUUGGGGAGCGCAUUCGCGCGACUGCUGGCAGCGACGACUUCGCGAACGAUGACUUCUUCCCCCACCUCGGCAACCUCGUCCUCGACGACAUGGGCGACAACGUCAACGCCAGCGGUGCUGCACCCGCUGCACCGUAUGUGAUUCUAUCCUUCCUGUUCGAGAUCAUGGUAGAAUUCAUGCUUCUAGUAUGUGCCCUAGAUGUGAUAUGUUCAUCUGCUAUGCUAGUUCGCAUGAUUAGUUUAAUCUCUGCUGCUGUGGUCAUGAUUUAUCUUCUGUUUAUUCGGAUUAAAUCUCGUAGUAAUUUGCUCAUAUUUCCAACAGUCGAAUUGGGAUUCUCACAUUUUAAUGGUGUGCUUUAGUGGAUGUUUACACUGUAAUUCUCAAUGGAUUUACAAUAUAAUUCCUACUGGAUUUACACUGUAAUUCUCAUUGGAUUCAUAGUGUGACUCCUUAUGGUUUCAGUGUAAUUCCCUGUGGGUUUACAGUGUAAUUCGUUUUGGUUAUCUAGUGUGAUUCCUACUGGAUUUGAAAUGUAAUUCCCAUUUAGCCCGUAAGUGUUGACGCUAGUCCAACGUUGGAUUUCGCAUCCUUGAGUCAGUAGCUUGGUGUAGGAUGGUCCUGCUGUAUGUGUGCUUUGAUUUUCUAAGGUUUGGAUUUGAGAUUUUAGGAACUAGAGUUUUGGUUUACUGUCAUGUUGUUCCUGGUUUUUUCCCACCAUUAUUAGUAGAUUUACAGUGUAAAUUUUAGUGUGUUUGCACUGUAGUCCUUAGUGCAUUUGCACUGUAAAUAUUUGUGGGUUUGCAUUGUUAAUCUUAGUGAUUUACAGUGUAAUUCUUACUUCUUUUGCACUGUAAUUCUUAGUGGAUUGUACAUUGUAAUUUUUAGUGAAUUUUUAUUGUAACUCUAGUGUAAUUAGUACUCUAAUUUUAUUGGUAUUACACUGUAAUUCUUAGUGGCUUACACUGUAAACGUUUUCUGCUAUUAGAAUGCCACACGUUAAGGAAAUCAUCUACAUCGUCAUUGAGGUGCGACGCCUGCCCCUUGAUGCUCCCUUCAUUUGCAUUUGGGUCGAUUGUAUGCACCUGCACUCAAUAUAUUUUGAGGAAAUUAGAAGUACUGAACUUGUUGUAGAAUGAACAAUAGUAUUAUCUGUUUGUGCCAACAAGUAUUCAGUUCUGAACUGUUAAUAAAUGCAGAAUGAUUUUGUAGAGAAGGUCCCAGUAAUUUUGAUCAAACAGGUCACAGAAAUUUGUUAUCAGCUUAUACGUUAUUUUUGUUAGUGGCUAUUAGUGUGAGGAGGCCUAGUCUAGUGUCAGUGCUUAGCCUGAUUGUGUUUUUCCCUUUUCCGUUAAUUUCAAUUUCAGUGCUUAUGUUAAUACAAAUAUAUAUUCAGUCUAAACUAGUUGUGUUUAUAACUGCAAAUUCAGAAACUUUCUUUCAUUCAAUCACAUCUUCACUUGAACAGCAAGAAAGUGUCUAAAACUGGAAUCUUGCCCCUUGUAUGUUCUUCUAGUUUUCCUAAAUGGAAUUCAUAGCUUCCUGGUCUUUUUUUGUCCCUUUGUUGUGUUUGUAGCUGCAAAUUCAGAAACUUCUGCAUCUAGUUUUCAGAAUCUAGUGUUCCUGUGAUCAUAGACUAGUAGUUCAUGUGACCAUAUCCUAGUUGUUCCUAUGUUGUUUUUGAGGUGUUUCUAGUUGUUCCUAUGUAUUCUCCUGGUUCUUGCUUCUUAUCUUGUUAUGUUCUAAUUUUCGAUCUUGUAUUGUUUUUGUGCUUCUUUUUAGCCUAUGUAAUGAUCCUCACAGGCUUGUAUUUUCUUCCAGAUGUAAUCAGGCAGGAGAGGGAUGAUAGGAGGGGGUUGCUUACCUGUGUUUUUUCUGCUUCUCCAGGCCAUAUGCUGGUUUGUUAGGAAGUUGCAGUGCAAUUUCUAAGUGCAGUUAUUUUCUAAGUGGGUUUACACUGUAAUAGAUAAUGGAAUAAGAAAAUUCUGGAUUACUGGAUUACAGUGGAAUUAAUAGCUAAUUGAAUUUCUAAGUUUAAUUACAUUGUAAUUCUGGAUUUUACACUGUAAUUCCUACUGGUUUAAAGUGUAAUUAUUAGUUGAUUUUGCUCUGUAAUGCCUACUGGAAUAUGAGAAUUUACACUGUUUUUCUUAGUGGAAUUAUAGUGUACUUUAAUUUGUUUUGACACUACAAUUGUCUGUGGAAUUGAAGUGUGUAAUUUACACUGUAAAUUUUAGUGGAAUUGCAGUGUACUUUUAGUUUUUUUACAUUGUAUUUCUUAGUGAUUUGCAGUCUAUUUUUAGUGUAUUUUGUUUUGUAAUUCUUAGUGGAAUUGUUAGUGUAGUUUUAGUACUUCUGCAGUGGAAUUUCUAGUGUUAUUUAAGAAAUAACAGUAUUUUUGUGUAAUUAUUUUGUGUUCUUUAGUGAAUUUGACACUGUAAAUCUUAGUGGAAUUGCAGUGUACUUUUAGUGGAUUUUACAUUGUAUUUCCAAGUGGCAUUUUUAGUGGAAUUACAGUGCAUUUCUAGUACUUUUAAAACUGUAAUUCUUAGUGGUAUUUGUUAGUGUCAUUUUAGUCCUUCGUAAGUGGACGCUGUAGAUGCUAUCUGUACGGGUUUGAAAAGCUUUGGGUGUGGACCCGUUAAAAGUUUGGUGUGUGGAAUUGCAGGAUAGGAAACAAUGAGCAGGGCACACGGGGCAUGGG
rnacentral:lncRNA from 1 species